AUACGGAGGGUGCAAGCGUUAUUCGGAAUCACUGGGCGUAAAGGGUGCGUAGGCGGUUUGAUAAGUCUGAUGUGAAAUCCUAUGGCUCAACCAUAGAACUGCAUUGGAAACUGUCAGACUAGAAUACUGAAGGGGCAGAUGGAAUUAGUGGUGUAGGGGUAAAAUCCGUAGAUAUCACUAGGAAUACCGAAAGCGAAAGCGAUCUGCUGGGAAGUUAUUGACGCUGAGGCACGAAAGCGAGGGGAGCAAACGGGAUUAGAAACCCCUGUAGUCC
rnacentral:rRNA from 1 species